rfam:Myotis lucifugus cont2.24739, whole genome shotgun sequence.
GUAGGCUACGGAGACAUGGUCCCGACGACCAUUGGGGGCAAGAUCGUGGGUUCCCUAUGUGCAAUUGCAGGGGUGUUAACCAUUGCCUUACCCGUCCCCGUCAUAGUGUCCAAU